CGCCGUACACACCAGCACACCGUUGUACGGCCCCUGUCCACAGCACGCCUUGUUGGAGACCGCAAAGCCUGCAAGAACAAAGUAAGUAGUGGCAAUGUUUGUUCUUUCUCGUUCUUUUCUCUUGUUCUUGUCUUUGUUUGUGGAUUGAGAUGGUUUUGAUCUUACCUCCCUGCGCAGGAUUGUCGAUGUACUCCUUGAGAAUGUCGAAACCAUUGAGGUAGGCAAAGAGUGCUCCUGGAAGUUCCUGGUUGAGCUCCACCAGCAUGUUUUUCAGCAGCGCGUUGAAGUUGAGGACGUAGUCGUUCAGCUGCUGGACGCACUGCCCGUCCCGGCUGCGCUGCGAGAGCUGCGACGGGAUGCAUCCGAUCGGUCCGAUGUUUCCCACGGUUACUUUGCGUGCACCGAGAGCGUAGACGGUCUGCCAUUUUUUUUUCCUUGGGUAAGCUUUUGUUUGGAUUGAUGGAGAUGCUUACUCUGAGUUGCUGCCGCAGAGUGGCGAUGAGCAGCGUGUUGAACUGCGCGGGAGAGAACUGAGCCGCUCGAACCGAGACCGGCAAUAGAUAGUUGUUGAUGUAGUCGU
rnacentral:lncRNA from 1 species